CUUUACAAGGUAAACUGGAGUCCUGAUGGAUCGAACAAUAAGAGGCACGAGGAACAGGCUUUGUAUUGUCUAGAAGCUUUUCUUGCCUAUUCAGAAGGGGGAUCCACAGGGAUUUCAUUAGACGAGGUGUUAUCCUUUUGGACUGGAGCAGCAAGCAUUCCUCCACUAGGAUUUGAAAUAUCUCUGGAAGUGUACUUUGGAAGCACUAAACAAUUUCCUACAGCCCACACCUGUGCCCUUAUAUUAACAAUAUGGCGUGGUUUCGAUGAUCCUGACGAGUUUCAGGAUACAAUUACAAAAGCAAUAAAAUGGGCAGGAGGUUUUAAUCUUGUUUGACAAUCAAAACGUUUUCAUGACAGCAAAGUUUCUUGGAUUUUAAAAUUGUGUUCAAGGCUUUCAUUGCAUGUUGUGCCAAUUUUUUUAGAUGUAUAGCAGCUAACCUCAAGUGAAGAACAUUUAUUUAGGCCCCUGCCGAUGAAACUGGAGAUCAAUGUAUUUGUCUCCGUCGUCUGUCUGUUUGUCCGGAAGUUGGCUUCCUGGCAAAACUUGAGUUGAGAAGUGAUGAAUGAUACAAAGUGGGAUUGAAUCUGUGGUCAAAAUGUCAACUAUGAGAUCACUGUUACUGAAUAGACUUACUACUUAAUAGAUAUGUAUGGUCAAAUUGAUAACUUCAA